ensembl:lncRNA
GGCUAUGAUUAUUAAAAAUUAUUUACGAAUUUCCAGCAGUUGCAAUAGUAAAAAAAGUAAAAUAUUUGCUAUAAACGUUGGAAAAGAAAAAAACAAAAUAAUCUGUAUUUGCACAUGAGAUUAUUAUGUAGCUAGAAAACCCAAGAAACUCUACUGAAAAACAAUUAGAAUUCAUAGAAAAUCGAUAAGAGCAUACAAGAUAAAUACACGGCAAUCAAUACUUUUCCUUUUUUUUAACCAUCGGUACAAGUAGAAAUGGAAAUGAAAUAAACAACAAUUCUCAUAACAACAAAAACUUGAAAUUCCUAGGAAGGUACAGUGGCUAUAUAAAGAAAAUAAUCAUAUAUUGUUAAACAGAGAGGCACAAAAUGAUACUGGAUGUAAAGACAUCAUAUCAUAUCCAUAUUAUAACCAUUCCAAAUUAAUAUGUAAAUUUUAACAUAAUUUCACAGACAUUACAACUUACUAUGAAGCUACCAUAAUUAGAAGAGUAUAGUUUUGACACAGGAAUAAACAAAUUUGGAGAAGAGAACAGAGAAUCUAGAAUUAUAUUCAGAUACACAUGACAAAGUUGGCUUUUAAUUCAGUACUACUCAACUAAAAACCCAGAUAUAAAAACACAAAUUUAGACUUUUACUUCAUAUAACGUAUUUUUAAAUUCCAGUUGAAUCAAAUAUUUUAAUAUAAUGCAAUAAAAAUACCAGAAGAAAAUCCUUGGUAAAGAUGUUCUUAAGCAAGACAGAAAACCAAUCAUCCAUUAAAAAAAAAGAUAAGUAUAUCUGGCUAUAUAGACUACAAAUAGAAUCUAUAGACCAACUGAAGACUUGGAAAAAUAUUUGCAGUAUAUAUAAUAGCCAAAAGUGUUCAAAAGUUGCUAAGAAUUCAAAAAUGGACAAGGACAAAAGCUAUAGCAGACGACAUAUAGACCAAUCAUUUGAAGAGUGUCAAUAGAAAUCUCUUUUUUUGUGUGUGGUAAAAAACAUAUAACAUUAAAUCUACUUUCUUAAAAUUUUAAAUGUACAAUACAUUAUUGAUAAUUAUAUACACAUCGUAGUACAGCAGCUCUCUAGAACUUUUUCAUUUUGCAUGACCGAAACUCUACACCAUUGAAUAGCAACUCCCCAUUUCCCACUUAAUAGAAUUCUUUUUUGUUAUUCUAUGUCAAUAGAAUAAAAAAAUUCAAAUUAAAUAAAAAUGGCAUCAGUUUUCAGCCUUUAGGUUAGCAAUAAAAAAAUAGUAACCCCAGUGCUGGCGAGGAUGCAGGGAAAAAGACACUCUUUCCAGAGAUGCUGGGAAUCUAAAUUACCACCAACAGUUUUAGAGAGAAAUCAAGAAUUAUGGAUUAAAAUGAAAACUUCACAUACUUUUGAUCCAGAAAUCCUAUUUUUUAAAAUGUAUCCGACAGGAAAAACCAAAGCAUUAAUAUGUAGUGAUAUUUCUAUAAUGAUGUUUACUGAAGUAGUAUUUAUAGAGAUAAAAAUAAAAAUGGAACAACCACCCCUCAGACACCAGCCCAGUCAAAACAAAUACCAGCCACCCUGGUGUACACAUUUGUUGGAAACUGAGAAAUAUCAGCUCUUCCUAAAGCUAAAAUACGCAUUAUAAUUAUAAAUAGACAUUUUAUAUUGUAUCAAUAUAAUGUAAUAUAAAUACACACACGUUAUGUCUUUAAAAGGAUUCAAAUAUUUUACCUGCAAAUCUUACACCACACUAAAUCCAAUUUCCCACUGAUAAGCUUUUUUUGACACUUUGGUUGUCUCUAAGAGCCUAGCUGCUAAUGGACAUAGUAUCAUAAUAUUUAUUUGACAUAACAUAAUACUAUUUGACAUAAUAUAAUAUUUAUUUGACAUAAUUUUUGACAUAUUAUUUGACAUAAAUAAUACUAACAGAAUUUAACUGAUUUACAUACUUGUUUUCACAUACAGAACAAGAAAUAUAUACAUUCACUCCAUAAUAUUUACUCCAUAGAACAUAUACAUUAUAUAUUGCAUAAUAUAUAUAUAAGAUAAUAUAAUGUAUAAUACAUUGACUCCAUCAGUAUUUACUGAAUGCCUCCUGCUUCCCGGUACUCCCCUAGAUGUUGGGCAUGCUGCAAAACAGCUCUGAUUCCCGCUUUCACAGAGUUCAUGAUCCACGAGGAAGACAGCCGUCAAUCAAGUAAACAACCUGGUGAGUGUACAAUUACAAACUGUGAACAGGGUGCUAUGAAAUAGAACAAUGGGGGAGGGGUUUCAUUCUGUAGAUUAGGUCAUCAGGAAUGGCUUCCCUGAAAAAAAUGACAUUUCAUUUAUUAGGGUUGAGAAGUGAGCCUUACGAAAGUAGAGAACAAGUUCUCCAGCCAAGGUGGCCACGGUCCGGACAAAAAUCAGAGGCUCUAUUAUGGUGGAAGAAGGGAGAACGGAUAUUCAGAGCCAGAUGGCAUUUUCUGCUGCAAGAGUCAAAAUUCCCUUUACCUUAUACAAUUUUGGCCUAAUAAAGUAUUUAUCUGUUUG